rnacentral:tRNA from 1 species
GUCGUUGUAGUAUAGUGGUUAGUUUUCCCGCCUGUCACGGUUGUUUUCCCCGCCUGUCACGCGGGUGACCCGGGUUCGAUCCCCGGCAACGGCG